rnacentral:rRNA from 1 species
UACGGUAGGUGCGAGCGUUGUCCGGAAUUAUUGGGCGUAAAGGGCUCGUAGGCGGUUUGUCGCGUCGGGAGUGAAAACACGGGGCUUAACCCCGUGCCUGCUUCCGAUACGGGCAGACUAGAGGUAUGCAGGGGAGAACGGAAUUCCUGGUGUAGCGGUGAAAUGCGCAGAUAUCAGGAGGAACACCGGUGGCGAAGGCGGUUCUCUGGGCAUUACCUGACGCUGAGGAGCGAAAGUGUGGGGAGCGAACAGG